ensembl:lncRNA
UAUGAAUUGAAAUAUUUUGAAAGCAUAAACUGUUUUUUGGCAUGCUUUCCACAACAAUGAACAACUGUGUUUCUUAUAAAUUACUAAUUGUUGUUUCUUUCCUUUUCUCUAAAUUUAGUGCAGAUGUUUGCCAUGAAGACUCAAGGAGCUUGAGAUGAGACAUGAAAAAAACACAGAUUAGAUCAAGAAAAUGUGACACCCCCCACCCCAUUCUGGAUGAAAAGGGUCCUGCGAGAGAGGAGAGUACAGCCAACCACAUGGCAGGGCAGGCGCGGUGUCCUGGGCUGGGGCCGUAUGGAAGGUCAGGGGGGUUGGCAAAUAGCGGCAGCCAGGAUUCUGAAGGAAACAGUGGGAGAAUGGGGCGGCUUGAGCCCGCUGGUCACCAGCCAACACACCCAACCUCGAGAGUUUGCUUUCCUCGACUCAGUCUCAAAGCUCUCCAUGCCAAACGGAUAUGAAAAGUAGCAUUACUGCAGAGGACAUCUAUAGACCAACUAUUGAUUUUCUUUCCUUUACAAAUCAGCCCUGAGGUAUUCUGCAACACACACACACACAUGCAAUCGCACACACACCACGUCAUCCUCUCUGAAGUGAAUGGAGGGGUGGAUGGGCUUCUCUCGUUCUCUCACACACAAAAAAGUGCAUUAGGGGCUGGGAGGGGUACAUGGCAACUGCUCGCUUGUUGUCAGGAUAGAUUAGUGUGACACGACUCAAUCAGACGUUCAGCUCGGCAGACAGGCUCGGGGGAAUUUUGCAGAAUGCCGUACGAGAUCCCCAUUGCUCUUGGAUACACACACACACCCAUUGGCCAUCUCCACUUCUAGUUCUUAGAAUCAGACAAUCAAUAUUUAUAUUUAUAAUCCUAUUACAUUUGUACAUAUUGUACAUUUAUAAGUAUUGUUGUAUUAGCAUGUGUAUGCAUAAAGCAUGGCUAGUUGCACUGGAUUUCAUAAAUGCCAUCUAAAUGGAAUGGAUAUUUUUAGUUGUUUGGUUUUGGUACAAGUUUUUUUGGGUUAUUUGGUACAAGCUGUUUUUGUGUGUGUGUUCGAGCAAGAGAGAGUAUGUUUGUUCUCUGUAAAUAUCAGCAGGCCAACUCGGGUCUCCUCCCACUGUUUUGUUUACCAAAAUGAAUGACCCCAUUACAUCACUGGCAGGGGAAACUCAACAUGGAUUUUUUUGCAGUUUAAUUGCAGUUAUAUAUUAGGGAAAUUAUUAAUAUACUAGGCAUCACAACUGUUUUCAAUGUUUUCAAAAGCAAAUCAGCAUAUUAAAAUGAUUUCUGAAGGAUAAUGUGACACUGAAGACUGGUGUAAUGAUACUGAAAAUUCAGUAACAUUUUCAAAUAUAUUAAAACAGAAAAGUUAUUUUUUUAAAGGUAUAAUAAUAUUUCACAAAAUUACUGUUUUACUGUGUUUUUGAUCAAAUAAACCUUCUUGGUGAACAUAGAAUAAUUAUUUC